rnacentral:rRNA from 1 species
GAGUUUGAUCAUGGCUCAGGACGAACGCUAGCGGCAGGCUUAACACAUGCAAGUCGAGGGGUAGAAGGAGCUUGCUCCUUUGAGACCGGCGCACGGGUGCGUAACGCGUAUGCAAUCUACCUUAUACAGGGGGAUAGCCCAGAGAAAUUUGGAUUAAUACCCCAUAGUAUUUUUGACCGGCAUCGGUUGAUUAUUAAAGUUCCAACGGUAUAAGAUGAGCAUGCGUCCCAUUAGCUAGAUGGUAAGGUAACGGCUUACCAUGGCAACGAUGGGUAGGGGUCCUGAGAGGGAGAUCCCCCACACUGGUACUGAGACACGGACCAGACUCCUACGGGAGGCAGCAGUGAGGAAUAUUGGUCAAUGGGCGCAAGCCUGAACCAGCCAUGCCGCGUGCAGGAUGAAGCAUCUAUGGUGUGUAAACUGCUUUUUGUACAGGAAGAAACACUCCCUCGUGAGGGAGCUUGACGGUACUGUAAGAAUAAGGAUCGGCUAACUCCGUGCCAGCAG